CUAAGGCGAGGCCGAAAGGCGUAGUCGAUGGGAAACAGGUCAACAUUCCUGUACCUGUUGCUGCUGCGAUGAGGGGACGAAGAAGGCUAGGUGGUCCGGGUGUUGGAUGUCCCGGUUCAAGCAUGUAGGGAGUAGCUUUAGGCAAAUCCGAAGCUGCAAUCCUGAGAUGCGAUGACCAUGCUCUUUAUUGAGCGGAAGCCGCUGAUGCCAUGCUUCCAGGAAAAGCCUCUAAGCUUCAGGCAGCAAGAGACCGUACCCGAAACCAACACAGGUGGACAGGGUGAGAAUCCCAAGGCGCUUGAGAGAACUCUGGUGAAGGAACUAGGCAAAAUAGCACCGUAACUUCGGGAGNNNNNNNNNNNNNNNNNNNNNNNNNNNNNNNNNNNNNAGAGGAAGUAUAGGGUGUGACGCCUGCCCGGUGCCGGAAGGUUAAUUGAUGGGGUUAGCUCCUUCGGGGGCGAAGCUCUUGAUCGAAGCCCCGGUAAACGGCGGCCGUAACUAUAGAUUGUUGUAGUUACGCAAAUAAACUUGGCUAUAUGCUGGAAACUCCGGUGUAUCCGCUGGUACUCGCUCGGAAUUGCCGAGCAGUGACAAUCCACGCGGUGCGGACAAUCAGCAGGAAAGGCUUCUGGUAUGACUUCACUGAACGUUCAGGAGAUUCCUGACCGCAUCGGCUAUUACCUCGCGGGUUUUGCCGAUGGCGAAGGAAGCUUCAACCUCUCAUUUCGAAAACGUAACGACUAUUCCAUGCCAUGGAAGAUAUCGUUGUGUUUCAACGUGUCACAGAAAGACAAGGUCAUUCUGACCUUAUUCAAACGACAUUUGAAAUGCGGCACGUUGCGGGUGAGAGACGAUGGCGUUUGGUACUACGAAGUCAAUAACUUCACGGCGGUUCGAGAGAAUGUCAUUCCGUUUUUUGAUCGGUUUGGGUUUCUGUCUGCAAAGAAGAAACGCGACUUUGUGAAGUUCAAGCAAAUCGCAGAUCUGAUGUCAGAUAGAAAACAUCUCGACAAAAAUGGAAUAAAAAGAAUUCUCGAAAUCCGCAAGACAAUGAAUGAUGGCGGAGUCGGAAGACGAAAGUACUCCGAUGCCGAAAUUCUGGGUCUGAUGAAGUCGGAAGAAUCCUCAGAGACUACACGCCAAGCACGAUCCAAUCGCUAAACCGAUGCCGUCUGAUUGGAAAGUGAAGAUAUAGUCCGAUCUGCAUAGCGAUAUGCAGGAUUCAAAUCAGAAAUCUUGCUACCGUUUGAAUCCAACCGGUCUCACGACCGGGGGUAACGAAGGAUGAACGGUCCUAAGGUAGCGAAAUUCCUUGUCGGGUAAGUUCCGACCUGCACGAAUGNNGCACGAAUGGCGUAACGAUGGCCACACUGUCUCCACCAGAGACUCAGUGAAAUUGAAAUUGCUGUGAAGAUGCAGUGUACCCGCGGCAAGACGGAAAGACCCCGUGAACCUUUACUACAGCUUUACACUGAACUUUGAACAUGCUUGUGUAGGAUAGGUGGGAGGCUUUGAAGCGAGGACGCCAGUUCUCGUGGAGCCAACCUUGAAAUACCACCCUGGUAUGUUUGAGGUUCUAACCCAGGCCCGUUAUCCGGGUCGG
rnacentral:rRNA from 1 species